AGACUUGGAUCACAGGUCACUUCGACCAUGGCAGAGGCCAUCUCAAGCUUCAUCUCUUGGCUGGAGCAUCUAUGCUUGCUCGCCUUGAAGGAACUCCAACAUCAUUGUAACAGAUGUACGCCUCCUCUCUGAUCACCACAGCCUACUGCAGCUUCAACUUGAGAUAAAGAUAACGCCGUGGAAGAGUUGGAUCUCCUCCUCCAGUCCCAUGCACAUGCACUUGUGAAUUGUGAUACGUCGACCUGCAUCGUCGCCUCCGCUGCUCCGUGGAGAAUGGCCAAUGUCAUGUCAACCGCGCCGCCCUCGCCAUCGCUGCCGCGCGUCCGGGUUGGCCCGCCUUUCCCUCUUCCUGUGCUGCCCGCCAUGGUCGAGAUCAGUGUUCUUUUGGUUUUGGUUGGAGUGGGCUUUGGGACAUUGCAGUUACCUGGGCCGAGGCCCACAGAGAGGGGGAGAGAGAGAGAGAGAGACGAAAGGGGAAUUGCUCCGGCGACCGGCGGUACGGCGCCGAUUUGGAGGGAAGAGGGAGCGGGGACGGGACGGAAUGGACGGAGCCAAGCGAGCGCCGGCGGCGGCGGGUGGGAAGCUGGAUCUGGAAGAGGCGCUGCUCCAGAUCGUUCAUGAGCACCGCCACCAAUCCCUCCGCCAACGCCAACAGACUGAGAGAGCCAAGAAGGAUGCUUUGCGAAGCGCAGUGCGGGUCGCCGAUCUCCUCGUGGACACGGUCGACGGCGGGGUGCAGGAUCUCUUCGUGAAUGAGAAGCGCAUUGAGCUUGAGGCACGCGCGCUGCUCGGUACUAUCGGGCGGUACAGGAAGCAGACUGAUCAGUGGCUGGCUGCCACCAAUGCAAUCAACUCAGUCCUCAAGGAAAUCGGAGAUUUUGAGAACUGGAUGAAGAUUAUGGAUUUUGACUGUAAAAGCAUCAAUGCAGCCAUACGCAACAUUCAUCAGUCAUGACUCUGCCUGCAAUCACACUGUUAGGAAGUUUCUAUCAUAUGUCAUUGCAUACAAAAAGAAGAAAAAACUGUCUUCACAUGAUUUGGAUGGCAAAAGCAUUGCGAUAUUACAGUACCUGAGAGUGCAAUCAUGUCAGAUGCACUCAGUCCUUUGUUUGAGAAGGACUUCGUGAGAUCACCAAGGUCAAGGGUCGGUGCAGGGAUGUCAUUUUUUGCAGCAUCUAGGCUUGCUGUUGUUGAGUCCCGCCUUCCCAGACUGACAACCCAAAAUCGCGUGCUGCCACAGCGAGGAUGUCAGCGCAUGACACCACCUGCGGGCAGAUCCCCUCAAGCUGUGCCUUGAUGUUGUCGAUCACAUCAAAUCCGCGCAGGGAGUUGUUGUUCGGAGCAGCAGUCUUCUCCCCUGUGAAGGUUGGGGUGUCAUCAAGCAGCACUGAGCCGUCACAACCCUGCAUGGUCAGGAUUUCCAUGGUUAGUAACCCAGAAGAUGUGAAGUAUGAAGUAUACAUGCAGGUUUGGGGGCACUUGCAUUGACAAAGCAGUCAUGGAAGUGGAGGCGGAGCAAUGAUGCGCCCAUGCGGUUCUCCCUUGCCACUGCAGAUCUCACGGUUGUUUGGAUGGUAUACAGUGCAUUUGGGCAUGACUUGUCAUAGAAAUUUGUAGUAAGCUGAGCUGAAACCAAGCUUGUAGCAAAGAACAAGGCCAGGACACUGCAAGUGACGGGUUUAGAGGAAGCCAUUUUGUUCAGGGAUUUAGAGUAGUGUGUUGGCCAGUGUCAAUGUGCACAGAUAUUUAUAGGCAGAAUUUGUGCACAUGCUAAGUUUCUCACUUUAUACAAGUGGUUUUGAAUACUCUUUGUAUUUUCUUAUUUAUAUUUUCUUCAUCAGGCUAAGUGGAGUGGUCUAUAAUCUGAAAGUGCAUUGAAGUAUUUAGCAGAUAUGAUCAGACAAAGGCAUACCUACA